UGGUUUUCUUCUCUGUCCCGUGUACCUCUCUUUUAAUCUCUCAUUCUUCUCUCCCUCACUCAUCUCAUUCACCCUUUCUCCCUCUCUUUGCCGAACACACACACACCCGCACACCUACAAUAACAACCAGACUGCACCACCACCUUCCCUUGUAAUCCCUGUGAGUUCUUGAACCAGAAAAGAGGAGAAAAAUCAUUUAAAAACUCCCUCCCCGCGCUGCACAGUGCGGUUACUGUACAAGGAACUUCUCCGGCGAAUUCUUGCCAUUUUCGGCCAAGGAACUCGGAAAACACAAGAUAAGUCACUGUUCAUUUCUGGAAAACUGAAACCGUGGUCGUUUGGCCACCUUCCUACCAUUUUUCCAGCCAACUCCAAUCUUCGUUGAGCCUUCUAAGGGUGCAUUGGUUGGAAGUGAUCUCAUCCUCCCUAGUUCGAUCAGCUCCCCGGUAGCAGAAUAUUUCUUGGUAUGAGAUUUUGAAUUAUGUUUUAUGUGAUGCUAGAGAGAAGGAAACCACACAUGCACAUCAUGUGAUCUCUGAAACGCGGGCCGUAAUAGACCUACAUGUGGACCAGCUGUGGAGUUAACCCUUGCUCUAUUGGUUUGGUGAUACCUAAAUAUGGUAUAAAAAGCUGGAAUUAGGGUUUAUGACUAGAUUCUGGGAGCUAAUGAAUUAGGGUUCAUUGUGGGGUCAUAGAAUUUUUUUUUUUCUUGUUUUUUGGGUUUGAUCCGAAAUUUUUGGGUCAUGCCGUCAUGGAAAACAUUAAUUAAUCUGGCCGUUGGAUGAAACCUGGAACCUAUAACUCACAAAAAUCACACCAUGUAUAGGACCUUCGUCUUCCUCACCCACUCGUUCUAUAAUCCUCGUCAGAAUUAUCUGGCGCUAUCGAGAAAAUAGACGAGGACUAAGACAUGCUGGCGCCGAAGGAGACGAACGAGGACUUGGCUCUCCCCGACGAUGCGUGCCCCGUUCUCAACGUCGGCGAGGAGAAGGAGAUCGGCAUGCAGGGCUUGGAGAAGAAGAAUAACAGCGUCAACGAGGUUGAAGUUGUAGAUGGGCGUUGGCAGAGACCACCUUUGGAUAUCAUGGAGAAUAUCGUACAACGCCUCGACUUACUUGAUCGGAUUCGCUUAAGCAUCCUCUGCAAGUCCUGGAGAAUGAUUGUUAUGCAAAUUAUCCGCAGUGCUCCGCCAUUCCCAUGGUUAGUAGGCCCAUCUGAAGCAGCUUCCUGGCUAUUAUUUGGAACUCAACCGAGUUCCAGUUACUUAGAGUUCUCCAUCCCACCUGAAGGUAGAGUCAUCAAGCUAGGGUUGCCUAAGCGAAAUCAAGGGUGCUUUCAUAGUUCCUCCAAAGGUUGGUUGAUAAUGGUCAAUGAAGAACACUCUGAAGUAUUUCUACUAAACCCUAUUUCAG
rnacentral:sRNA from 1 species